GGAUUCAUUAACACAAUUUCCCGAUGACAUAAGAACGAGUAGCAAAGUAGCACCGAAAUAUGUAAGUACCAAAUACAAGCCAUCAAAAACCUGACAUUUAGUAUGUUGGUAGUGUCUUGUGUAGCUGUUCUACAUUGCUAC